rnacentral:tRNA from 1 species
GAUCUGCUAAUUCUGCGCCUCCAUGCCUAACAACAUGGCUUUUUCA